UUUUAAAUAUUAUUUAAUUUAUUUUUUAUAAAAUUUUAAAAUAAGAAUAUUUAGUUUUUAUUAUAUAUUAAGAAAAAAUUUUUUUUAAUUAUAGAGUAAUAGUAUUGUAAAAGAAUUUUUUUAAAGUUUAAAAUAGAAAAAUUAAUUUUUUGUACCUUGUGUAUCAGGGUUUAUUAAAUAAAAUUUAAAAAUUUAAUAUUCUCGAAUUAAUAAGAGCUAUAUAUAUAUAUAUGUUUUUGUAGAAUAAAAAUUAUUAAUAUAAAUAUAGAAAUGAAACAUUAUUCGGUUAUUAAUAUAUCUAGUUUUAAAAGAAAAAAAUUUAAUUUUUUUAUUAAAAAUUAUAAAAUUUAAUUUUUUAAUUUUAUAUUAUUUAGUAUUUUAUAUUUAAAGGGAUGAGCUUUUAAAUAUAUAAUUUUAAAAUAAAUAUUAAUUAUUAUUUAAGUAGGAUUAUAAGUUUUUUUCUUUAAGAGUGUGUUAUAACUUUUUUUUUAUAAAUAUAAUUUUUAUAUUUUUUAAAAUUUUUUAUUUUAAAAAAAAUUUUAAUAUAAUUUAUUUUGUUAUAAUGAUAAAAUUAGUAAAAUAUUUUGUAUAAAAUUAUUUUGUUUGAAGGUUAAAUAAAGGAACUCGGCAAAUUUAUUUUUCACCUGUUUAUUAAAAACAUGGCUUUUUGAGUAUAAUUUAAAGUCUGGCCUGCCCAAUGAUUUAAUUAAAUGGCUGCGGUAUUUUGACCGUGCAAAGGUAGCAUAAUCAUUAGUUUUUUAAUUGAAAGCUGGUAUGAAAGGUUGGAUGAGAAAAUAGCUGUCUCUAUUUAAAUUUAUUUUAAUUUUAUUUUUAAGUAAAAAAGCUUAAAUUAUUAUAGAAGACGAGAAGACCCUAUAGAGUUUUAUUUAUUUUUUAAUUAGAAGUUUUAGAAUUUAAAUAUUUUAUUUAUAAAAGUAAAUUUAAUUGGGGUGAUUAAAAAAUUUAAUAAACUUUUUUUUUAUUUAAUCAUUAAUUUAUGAAAGAUUGAUCCUUAUAUAAAGAUUAUAAGAUAAAAUUACCUUAGGGAUAACAGCGUAAUUUUUUUGGAGAGUUCUAAUCGAUAAGAAAGAUUGCGACCUCGAUGUUGGAUUAAAAUUUAAUUUUGGUGUAGAAGCUAAAAUUUUAGGUCUGUUCGACCUUUGAAAUUUUACAUGAUCUGAGUUUAAACCGGCGUGAGCCAGGUUGGUUUCUAUCUCUAUUUAAUUAAAAUACUUUAGUACGAAAGGACCAAGUAUUU
rnacentral:rRNA from 1 species